rnacentral:rRNA from 1 species
GGUCGAAAGGGGAAAUUCAUUCGCGUUUCGACUGUCGAAGUUAAGCGUUUGUGUGACAGAUGACGUUCGCGUUGUAUGCACCUUUCGUUUUUCUAAUUGACGUCGAACGCGUGCACUUUUCCCCUAGUAGGACGUCGCGAUCCGUUGGGUGUCUGUMUAAGACUCGAAGUGGAGCCCAUGAGACAUUUUGUCGCGUGGACCUUUGAUGUUCCGACAGACUCGCUCGACGGUAUACGAAAGGCGUGGGGCCGCUACUUAAUUAGCGUUCGGCCCGUAGCAAGCACGUUCUGUGUUUGACGGCUAUCGGACCUAGUGCCGAUACUGUCCCGGAACGACUGUUGGUUACGGUGUUCUCGAACAGACCUCAU